UACGGAAGGCAGCAGUGGGGAAUAUUGCACAAUGGGCGCAAGCCUGAUGCAGCCAUGCCGCGUGUAUGAAGAAGGCCUUCGGGUUGUAAAGUACUUUUCAGUCGUGAGGAAGGUGUUAAGGUUAAUAACCUUAGCAAUUGACGUUAGCGACAGAAGAAGCACCGGCUAACUCCGUGCCAGCAGCCGCGGUAAUACGGAGGGUGCGAGCGUUAAUCGGAAUUACUGGGCGUAAAGGGCACGCAGGCGGUUAAUUAAGUUGGAUGUGAAAUCCCCGGGCUUAACCUGGGAAUGGCAUUCAAGACUGGUUAGCUAGAGUCUUGUAGAGGGGGUAGAAUUCCAUGUGUAGCGGUGAAAUGCGUAGAGAUGUGGAGGAAUACCGGUGGCGAAGGCGGCCCCUGGGACAAAGGACUGACGCUCAUGUGCGAAAGCGUGGGGAGCAAACAGGGAUUAGAUACC
rnacentral:rRNA from 1 species